UCCCCACUGAACUUCAGUCCCUCUUAUGGAGGAAAACCGCUCCCUCCUAAAUACUGCUUUUGGUGACUGCCCUUUGUUUGAAGUAAUCAUUGUCCCUAGAAAUGGGAAAUUACACAUUACUGUUUACCGAAAGGAAAUAAACACCUUGGAUGACUAGGGUUCUUGCCCCCAGAGAGCGAUCCCCGACCUUGCCUGCAAGCUGGGUGGGAAGCCUGCACACUACAUCCUGCAAACACAUUCACUUUCGGUGUUUGACCAUUUCUGCAGGGGAAAUGGUUGGAUCCUGUGUGUCCCACGAAGCUUGCUUGCCGUAUCCUUGUUACGUCAUCACGGAGGACCUUUGCUAGUCUUUUUCUGGUUGCAGAAGCAAGUACAGGAAAAAACAUGGGGAACGGGGCGUGUCUCCUGCUUACUCUGUUCAGACAUGGACUGGACUCUUGCUCUGUGUUCACGGGUAUCUGAUGAGCUCUCACUAAAUAAGAGUGAAUAGGAAUGCUUUAUUGAGACGGCCUGAGCCACAGGCAGGUUCACGCAGGUAGGAAAAGGUCUUGGAGGUGGCUCUGAGCACUGUGUCUGUCUCAGCCUUUCCGUGUUCUGGCUCCGUGGUCUCCCAAGCCCUCCCCUGCUUUUCACUCUGGCCAUUGUCAACCCCGGCAGCCUCAAGCUGGCCUCUGAGCCACACGCAGCUGUUUCCAGUGCUCUUUAACAUUCCCUGCUGUCUCCAGCCCCCUGACUUUUAAGCAGGUUUCUCUUCCCCAUCGGUUGGAUUUCAGUUUAGGCGGCAUUUCUUCCUGGGAUUCUUCUUCCCUACCCCCCGCCCCCACCCCACACCCCCCACGUGCCUGUGCAUUCGUGCUGGUCUGUAGCUUCCUGUUCUCAGCAUUAUUCAUACUAAAUUACCGGUGACGAGUUGCUUGUCUGUCUGCCUCCCCCGUCAGACUGUCAGCUCUGUGAGGGAGGGAUGCAGCCUGCUUGUUCAGCAUCACAGCUCCGGCACAGUGCCAGGCACACAACACACGGCAGAAACUCAGUAAGCCCUUCUAUCGCUAUUUUGUCACUUCAUACACUUCCCCUUAGCAACAUGAACUCCAGUUGUUCGGCUGCCCACUCUUGUGUAUUUCCCCGAUCUCCACCCUAUCUCCAACCCAUCAGCCUCUACUCGGGUAACAAAAACAAACAAAACAAAACCUAGAAAAUCAACAAAAGAAACACACACCAGAACUGGUUCUCUGCAAGGAUGGGAAGCGUGGAGCCCGUCAGUCAGCAAACUUCAAAAUCCACACCUUGCCUGUGUGCGGGACUGCCUCUUUGGGGUGGGAAAGGACGUAAAAGAAAAGCCUGGAGACCCAGGAGAACACACCACAGCCUUCAGCACUGGGAUGCAAGGACCAGACUAAGCCCGAGGAAACUGGCAACCGAGCAGGGCAGUUUCGAUCUCCAUCCCCAAUGCAGG